GGGGAUGUGGCUCAGUAGUAGAGUGUCUGCCUGACAUUCAAGAAGCCCUAGGUUCAAUCCCUAGCACCACAA
rnacentral:tRNA from 1 species